ACAGGACAAGAUAAGAUCCAGUUUCCUUACAUACCAGAAGUCGGCCUAAAUAAUGCCCAAUUCUCUGCAUACCAUGCCCAGAGUGGUGAAGUGUUUGAUCCUCCAAAUCUCUACGGAUGGAAAAGCAAACUGAGAGCAACCUCAUCUGCUCUUGAGAAAGAGAAAGAAAAGACAGGAACUAGUCCAACAGUUGAACUGCACUGAAUAGUUUAAUGCUACCCUUUUAACAGCUGGAAAUUUUUCAUGGAAUGGUUCCAACCACUCCUCAACUUGGGAAAAAAUCAUUCAGGAACCUUCUGCCUUACAAGCAAUUCAUAACCCCUGGCAAAGUUGAAUCUAAAAAAUAUACAACGUGCCUAUGAGUCAUCCUUAAAAUACUUUUCUUCAAUAAGCUUCUGUAAUGGGGAAAAAUUAUCAUUCCACACAAGCUUCUGAGACUUGUUACCACUUUGCAGAUUGAAUAACCCUUGGAGACAAGGCAGUCUACCGGCUAGACAGCCUGGAAACAGCUUCCAGACCAAUCAGCUGCUGGGAAACAGUUUUUGGCCCAAUCACCCACCUGGAAACUGUACAUGGACCACUCGCUGUCUUCUAAGAACCACUUCUCCUAAAAUCUGCCACUGCUGCCUUGCAAACCAAACCAGAGAGAGAAAAUAUACCUGAAUUAUUUCUACACUGACCUUGUGAGUCCCAGCCCAUCUGUGCCCUUUUGACAAGUGCGUCGAACUCCAUGCCCCUCAGUGGAAUUCAUUCUGUAUUGAAUAAUUUUUUGGCCAAGCCCUAUCCUUUGUGGAAAGAGAGUGCCUGCACCACAAACGUGUUCUCUUAUAGUUCUGGAGGUCAGAAGUCAGAAAUGAGUCUUUAGGACUAAAAUUAAGGCGUUGACAAGACUGGUUCUUUCUGGAUACUCUGCAGUAAAUGGCAGAGGUGUGAAUAUAGCAACAAGGAGACCUGCUGUGAGGUUUUUCAAAGAUUCCAAAUAAGCAAUGGUGGAAGCCUGAACUAGAGCCUGAGGAGUGGGAAUGGAGAGGAAGGCCAGACUGCAGCCUCGAAGAAGGGGCAGAAUCUAUUGGGCCUUGCUGACUAAUCAAGGUACCUCAAAGAAAGUUGAAAGAAGGUGAUUCAAAUUGCCAGGAAGAGUUUGGGAACAUCCACACUGCCAAUCAGUUUUUUAAAACAAAAUUUUUAAAAAGGCAUAAUCUAUCCACGCAACAAGACUACGUCAGCACCACAAAUAAUCAAGGACAAAUCACACACAACGAAGGAAGUGCUCAUCACUGCUACCCGUUUUGUGCACACAAGACAGUCCCUAUCUCUCAACUAGGAACGUCAGCCACUUUAGGCUUUUGAAUGUUGGUCUUUCUCCUGUUGUCUUCUACCUACUGACUUUUCAAUCAGCUCUCCUCCUGUGGCCGGAUCCAUUUCAUGGCAUAUCACUCCCACCUCAGAAGACUGGGUCACAGAAGUGAUUUCAGGACUCAUAAGUGAGCAAAGGCCUCAAGCUCAAAUAUUAGCUGAAUGACUGAAUAAUUACUAUAGGUAUGGUCCUCUGGACAAGCAAUCUGCCUAAUAUCUCAGGGAAGGAAAGGCCACAGAACUGCAAGCUGUAAGAGAGAUUACCUACACUAACCAAAUCAGGUUCUGACUGAGGAGGGUAAGGGAGUUCAGCAAAGCGAAAGAGACCAACUACCUCCAUUUUGACCUCCAUCUGUACUUGGUGGUCGCAGAGCAGCACACGGAAGCUAAUGUGUUGUCCACAGCGCACGCCAGCUCAGAGGACUUGCUGGAGGGCCACAGCUUUAUCCCCAUUGGUUGAGGAUCUCAUGGAAAGAUAGUGGACUCUACCAGAGGGAAGGCACAGCCAACAGCUGUCACUCGCCCUCGCAGCCUCCAAAUACCGCAAGUGGCCCAGCUCUACCUGGAAGGAUGUAUGUAUGAAUGUGAGUGACUCUGUACUACUGUGGCUAGAGGCAAAAGCCACACCCUGGAGCCUUUUAAUAAACAGAUGACAGGUCCAAACUUUGUCAUUUGUUUUUUUAUUUUUUAUUUUUUUUAAUGUUUAUUUUUCAGAGAGAGAGAGAGAGAGAGAGCAGAGGAGGGGCAGAGAGAGAAUCUCAAGCAGAUUCUCUGAUGUGGGGCUUGAACUCACAAACUGUGAGAUCAUGACCUGAGCCGAGGUCAAGAGUCGGACACUUACCCAACUAAGCCACGCAGGCACCCCAUCUUUUGUUUUUUUAGAGAGAGAACGAGCAAAGGGGGAGGCAGAGGGAGAGAGAGAGAGAGAGAGAAUGAGAGACUCUCAAGCAGGCUCCAUGCUCAGCACAGAGCCCAACACAGGGCCCAGUCCUACAAUCCUGGGAUCGUGACCCAAACUGAAAUCAAGAGUUGGAUGCCCUACUGACGGAGCCACCCAAGUCCAAACUUUGUAUCUGGAAAUUUUCAAGGAUUUUUCUUAAAUACUAUGAAAUAAACUUACCAUCUGUGCUGCA